rnacentral:rRNA from 1 species
AGAUUGAACGCUGGCGGCAGGCCUAACACAUGCAAGUCGAGCGGCAGCACGGGUACUUGUACCUGGUGGCGAGCGGCGGACGGGUGAGUAAUGCCUAGGAAUCUGCCUGGUAGUGGGGGAUAACGCUCGGAAACGGACGCUAAUACCGCAUACGUCCUACGGGAGAAAGCAGGGGACCUUCGGGCCUUGCGCUAU